UCCCUCCCUCCAGUUCUCCCCGUCACUCCGCCCACCUCCUCUCGCCCUCCUCCCGAGGAGGAGACACCGCUCCAGCGGGAAGCAGGAUGGCUGCUACCUAGGGAACUCAUCAGCACCUCCUCCCCAGAGGCUAAAUCGCCCCUGACCCCAGGUUCACCUGGGCCUACCCCUGCCCAGAUUGCCGAUCCUAACCUGCCCUUCCCGGCUGUAGGAGAGCCGCCUCCCUGGCAGCCUUCCAGCCAUCCUUAGCCCUUUUUUUUCUCGCCCUCCUUCCAGCCUGUCCCAUCUGUGGCCCCUGUCUGACCCCCAUCUGGGGCUGGGGCAGUGUUGAGCACUAGAAGGGGUUCACGGUGCCUGGUCUCCUGAAGCGCUGGGCUCAGCUGGCCACAAGGGAAAGGCUGGGGGGCGGGGGGUGGGCAUGUCUACCUCUAAGCCUGCUGCAGGGUUUUGCCACAGGCACCAUGCUGCCUUCUCCUGGAAUUCACCCCUUCCCCAGGGGUGCAGCCCUAGAAGCUGGAGGUCAGGGUCCCAUUGUUUGGGGUGACAGGUGUCUGUGAGUAUUUUAAGGGGGCAGAGUGGAGCGUGCCUGGUUGAAGUACUAGGCUACAUUUUGUCACCAAGGUAGGGGAUGGUAGGGACCCCUGCUGCUCCCCAACCCUGUCAGAGCUGCUGGAACCUCAGGCAGGAAUCCACUAAGGCCACCCCCUGGGGCCUAGUGGGUACACAGACCCUUACUCAAAGGCCUCAGCUGGGAGGUCCCAGCUCCCCAUUCUUGGCACUCCUUUCCCCAGGGACCUCCAGGCCUCCUCAGCAAGAGCAAGGUUGUUCAGCUGCCUCUGCACUGGCAGCGGAGCAGCCUGUUUGGAAUUUUCCAGGGCCAAGAGCAGCCAUGGGGUGUGGAAGGAAGGGAUCAUUGUUAUGGCCGGGUAUAUGAAGUGUGCCCCCUCCCCAAGUCCCAGGUUCCCUGAUUGCCAAACUGCAGUCCCCAAAUGGCUCAUCCUGUUAAGCUAAACCCUCAGCCAACCUCUGGCUUUAAGAAGAAAAGCAGUUCUGGCUGGAGCCAGAUUAAGCCUGCUAGCAUAGGACCGAAGCUCGUCUGGAGACAAAGAGGUUGGACUUUUCUUCACAUUGGAAAUCAAGUUCAAUUCUUCUUCACGGCUACAAGAUGGGGCACCAGCUGACCCUUGGGCUCCCCAGCACUGAAGAGCAGCCAUCCCCCAAGCUGCCUUCCCUGCCCUUUGCCCUCGGCCCUUGCAAGAGCCCACUGCCUGGGGUGUCUCUUCUUUGUUGACUUCCCUCUGAUCCUGUAAGACUCAGCUCAGCAGCCACCUGUUACAGAAGGAGGGAGAGGAAGGCGAGGGGGAUCCUCUGACCCAAGCCUCCACUGGUGCCCAGCCAGGGCAGCUGGGCUUGUGUGGUACUCGAAGUUCAAGAACCCAUCCUCUCAGGUUGGAUGAUUAGGCCAGAGUUUCCCGAAGUGGGAGCUGGGGGCCAUAAACUGCCUUCUGGUGUGCUGACUGGCACAGCCUGUGGGAACAGCCAAGCUACAGUGUUCCCGGGGUAGUUCCCGUGGGGUGCUGGGCAUCAGAGCAAAACAAAGGCAGAGGGAUUUUCAGCCCUUGGGUCCUCAGGUGUUCUCAGAGCUUUGGGAAGGUGUAUCUUGCCAACCCCCCACCCUAGCACCAGCUGCUGAGGAGGAGUGGGGUGGACGCCCCAGGACCCUAGCUAAGGGCUGGGAGGCUGUCCCUGCCAGACCGCACUAAGCCUCUGCCUGUCUUGCCAGGGCUUUAUAUUCAUGGCUCUGUCUGUGAGGCUGGUUCUGGAGCACGUGCAGGAGCAGGUGAGAUACUUGUAGGUACUUGCCCAACUGCAAAGGGAGAGCGUAACCCACUGUUCUUAAGUGUGGGAUGUGUACUGAGUGAGAAGUUUCUCACUCUUGAGUGAGAAGCAAAGUGUUCUCCAGGCAGCAGCCAUGGUGGCCAACCUUUCAGAGGCCAGUGGGGUGGAGGUGGAGUAGGAGCCCAGGAGGAGGAUGAAGGGAGGAGGGGAGCACUGGAAAGAGGGCUCCCCUUGUCCAGGGAGGUCUGGAAAUUAGACCCAGUGCCCGCAGCAACUGGGGCUACAGGUCCCACCGGGUGGACCACUGAGGAGACUGGGUGGGAGGGCGCCCUGCCCUGGGGCAGUGGGUUAACCCAUUGCUCCAGGACAGCUAGAGGGCGGGCUGGUGGGGUGAGGGAGGCACUCCUCUGCUCAGGCUGCGAGUACAAGAAGCUGUGCAAUUAGAAUGUGCUGGGAACAGAGGGAAGGCUGGAGUCCACCUUGAAGGAGUUUGUGUUUUCAAUAGCUGGGGAGACGAGGAUGGCGCCAGGCCACCUACCGAGGCUGGGGUGUAAGAGGGAACGACCUGACCCCCACCCCUGCACAGCACUCCUUGUUCACCAGCUGUGCUUAUCCACAUAGACCCCGAAAAAGAUUUGUAAAUUUGUUUUUAUGUUUUAAACACAUUUUUAAUUUCUGAAUAGUUUUAUUAUUUUUUUCUUUUUAAUCACAUUUUAUUGAUUAUACUAUUACA